UCUGGUGUCUAUAGCGAAGAAGUAACGCCUGAUCCCAUUCCGAACUCAGAAGCUAAGAUCUUCAGCGCCGAUGGUACUGCGGGGUUCCCCGUGGGAGAGUAGGUCAAUGCCAGA
rnacentral:rRNA from 1 species